rnacentral:rRNA from 1 species
UACGUAGGUGGCAAGCGUUGUCCGGAUUUAUUGGGUUUAAAGGGUGCGUAGGCGGUUGUAUAAGUCAGUGCUGAAAUAUCCCGGCUUAACCGGGAGGGUGGCAUUGAUACUGUAUGACUUGAGUAAAGUUGAGGUUGGCGGAAUUGACGGUGUAGCGGUGAAAUGCUUAGAUAUCGUCAAGAACACCGAUAGUGAAGACAGCUUACCAAGCUUCAACUGACGCUGAGGCACGAAAGUGUGGGGAUCAAACAGG